GUGGGUGGGGCUGUAUGAAGACAAAUUUGCUGCUGGGGACCAUAGAGACUGAGGAAAUAUACAUAAACCAGGAGGUCAAGAUGCAGCCGGUAGCCUUCAAAGACAAGAGACGGGGAUCCUCAGGCAAUAAAGAAGAGCUCCGGGCAGGUUUCCUCAAGCCUCUCAAUGACUUGCCCACAGCUGCAGAUGACCCUAACUAUGAGAACAUCACCUUUACCUUCAAAAACCAGAACCGGCCAAAGGGCAGUCAUUCACCACCCAAGAAUAAGGUGCCAGCCGAGCCCAGGCCACCCUUGGACACUGCCCAGGGACACCACUGGUUGCCUAAAGCCAUGAUGAGUCUGAACACCUUCUUGACUCUGUCCUGCAUGGUCCUCUUAGCUGUGGUCCUGGUGAAGAAUUCCAAGAUGUCCAGGGAGCUGGUGGUCUUGAAAGAGGAGCUCUGGAACGUCUCCACUUCGGUGCAAGAGUACCAGGAAGAGCAGAAGACUCAGUGGGGCAACGUGAAACAGAGUGUAAUGGCAGCCAAGCAGAGCAUUGACACAGUCAUGACGAGAAUCCAGGAAGGGAACCCGAAACGGAAGCAGCUGGCCACAGUCCCAAACAUAGAUGAAGUCAAGAAAACAUUACAGGAAAUCCUCAAUACACUGAAGACACCAAAACCAAGUCCCACACCUCAAUGAGUGAGAAAAUCUCACAGCCCUGGCUGCGCCGUGGAGGAAAGACAGCACUUCUUCCAUGAAGAAGGAACAUGGGGACCCACGCUGGUCUGAAGCUGCCCUUCAUCCCACAUGUAGAAAAUCACAUGUCUUGCGAAUGAGUGUUGUGGAAUUGCAUGUGUGCAUGUGCAUGCGUGUGUCAGGCACAUCACCGCUUGCAGCAUUCUGCAUUUCAGAAAGCAGGUCGCGGGUCAAUAACCGGGAGAGCAACGGACCCAAUUAUUGGAUUGCCUGACACUGUGUACUUAGUCGCUCAGUCACGUCCGACUCUUUGCGAUCCCAUGGACUGUAGCCCUCUAGGCUCCUCUGUCCAUGAGGAUUCUCCAGGCAAGAACACUGGAGUGGGUUGACGUGCCCUCCUCCAGGGGAAUCUUCCCAACCCAGGGAUUGAACCCAGGUCUCCCGCAUUGCAGGCGGAUUCUUUACCUUCUGAGCCACCUGACACUAGCUCUGACUGUUUUGAAAUAAUGCAGGAAGAAGAAAAACACAAGACCUUCACCAUUUUGAUCCUUGCCACCAACCCGCACCCCGGGACUUGAAGCCCCACCUAUUAGACUUCUCCUGAUUCCCCACGGCGGGGGAUGGGGUUGGAGGCUGGGGAAUGGUCUUGAGGCUCCAGGCAGCUGCGUUCCCUCUUUGCCUGGCAAAAAAAUAAAACUCCUCUUUCUUUUCUCCUCCAAA